rnacentral:lncRNA from 1 species
UGUAAAUCUCAAGUCUAUCCAGCAUUUGGUGCGUGGGCCAGGAAAAUCAACCGUGCUGAUUGAUUAAAAUCACUGGUUGAAGCCCUUGCGGAGGAAGUGGGGAACCGCCCUGCCCCCCACCCCCAAUGGGACAGUAUGCUCUCAGAUUUCUCUGAGUCUCCUCAGAGGACUAGGGAUGAACUGAUUACCGCCUGUGAUUUUUCCAGGCCCAGAAGAAGUGAGGAUGCUUGUCUGGUUUAGUUCGAUAUGGUCAUUGGAUAAGAGAAGCUUCAGUGUUUGCCAUCAUCUUUGGAUGUCCAUUUCCACAUUUAAAGGGCAGACUCCAGCCUUUUGGUGCAGACCCUUUGGCUUCAGGAUAUUGACUCACACCAGACUCUGCAGUGAGCUCCAGGCCCUCCACUUUUGAUUGAUGCAUUCUUCACCCUGACUCUGCAGGUGAAAGUUGAGGCACUGAAAAUGAAUAGAAGCGAAUCUAGGUAUCAAGGGAAGAAGGAAGAUUCAAGUGUUUUCUUGCUGUGCAUUGUCGUUGUUGUUGUUGUCUCUGAAGAUUAUUGCUGCUCUCUGGCUAACAUUGAGUAACAAUGAACUCUAUGGGGCAAAUGUACAAAUCCUGGACCUUUUAUGGGAGGAUUUGAUCCUCCCAUAAAAUGACUUUACUAUUUCUUGUCUUGAGGAAUCUAGAUCAAACAAGUCUUCCAUCCAUUUUUAUCUCCAGCCAUAGACAUAACCAUACCUUCUGGAAACUGUCUGCCUUCUUGGGGCAGGAAAUUCUCACAUGAUACACUGCAGGAUAGUUUAGACACAACUCUGUAUGUGCUCCUUCUGACCCACAAAAAACUCUACC